AACCGUUUUUUUUUUUGUUGUUGCUUUUCAUGACCUAUCUGCUUUCACCUGUAUGUUGCUAGCUCCACCGCCAGAUCACCCUACAUAUGUGUACAUACGUUUGCAAAGUAUUGGAUGUCCUCCACAGUUUCACUGGAUGUAAUCAUUGUUUUAAUUGCAGGGAGUCCAAGAAAUCCAACCCUGGUUCCUGUAACAACCCUAAAAAAUAAAUUGUCACUGACAAUGAAGCCACCAAUUCAGAAAGACCUUUUUGUUAAUGAUAAAAUUGUCUUGCAAGCUGUUGUUUCUGGAGAUGUAAGAAAUACAGUGCAAGACACUUCAGUAUCAUGUAAAGUGAAGGAUGAACGUGUGCCCAAUGAAAAUAUCACAACAGGGAAUGUUGAAUUUUCUACUGACACUUCACAGUUUAUAAGAAUUCACAAUGUCAUCGUUAAUACAAAGAAAUGGUUUGAUGUUGAAAUAGUCACCUGCACCAUCAGUGACAUAAAUAA